AGUGAACGCUGGCGGUAGGCCUAACACAUGCAAGCCGAACGGCAGCACAGAGGAGCUUGCUCCUUGGGUGGCGAGUGGCGGACGGGUGAGGAAUACAUCGGAAUCUACUCUGUCGUGGGGGAUAACGUAGGGAAACUUACGCUAAUACCGCAUACGACCUACGGGUGAAAGCAGGGGACCUUCGGGCCUUGCGCGAUUGAAUGAGCCGAUGUCGGAUUAGCUAGUUGGCGGGGUAAAGGCCCACCAAGGCGACGAUCCGUAGCUGGUCUGAGAGGAUGAUCAGCCACACUGGAACUGAGACACGGACCAGACUCCUACGGGAGGCAGCAGUGGGGAAUAUUGGACAAUGGGCGCAAGCCUGAUGCAGCCAUACCGCGUGGGUGAAGAAGGCCUUCGGGUUGUAAAGCCCUUUUGUUGGGAAAGAAAUCCAGCUGGCUAAUACCCGGUUGGGAUGACGGUACCCAAAGAAUAAGCACCGGCUAACUUCGUGCCAGCCGCCGCAGUAA
rnacentral:rRNA from 1 species